ensembl:lncRNA
UUUCAUAUUGUCCAAAAGCAACUUGGGCCGCGCAAGAAAAACUCCCCCCAAAACCCGUCAAUGGGGAUGAAAUAAGGAGGAAUCUGUUGAAGAAGAACCAACAUCUAAGUGAGUAGGAUUCAUGGAUUUAAGCACAACCAUAGCGCUCUAUUAGAACGAGCUCAGUGGUUCAUCUUAAGAACAAGAGACUCUGGAAGAACAGUUCUGUAAUUUCACGGUUGAAAGACGUAACCGUGUCUUAAAACCUUCACUGUGACGUUACACAACUUAAUCACUAAUAUACUUUUAUUACGCGUUACAACGUUAAGAGCCAGAGAAUUCAAAAUGAAGAAACGAAACACAUCAUUCAUCUUCAUUAACAAAUAAUGAUGUGAAUACAUGAGGAGUUUGAUCCACCUCGUCUUUCAAUCCUUCGUCUUCAAGAAAAAGUACAUGAUGCCGAUGAUGAUGAUGGUGAGGAGGAAACAGGGGAAGAAGACUAUUCCAACCACCAAAGCAGCGUGGGGGUCUUUCUCUGGAAGUCAAAGGGAGAAUAAUUAACUUUCAACAAGCCACCUGGAAACAACAGACGUGUGAAGUUGUGCUUUGUGUCUCUGGUCCUACCUGUGUGUGUCCCCGGUGUCGACGCUGCACUCGUUCUGGUUUCUGGUCUUCUGCUGGUCGAGGUCGUUGUUGUCUCUGUGUGGGACAGACGGACAAAUACAAUAUAUUUUAUUUCUCUCAGACUGAUCCCCUUUUCGUCGACUUCAUGUUCAGAUGUCGUGCGUCUCACUGUUCUUUUUGUGUCUCUGUCUCUUGGUUGUACUCGUGUCUGUGGUCAGACUUGUUUUAGCUGCAGAGGUUGUGGUUUUACCUUCAGCUAGAAAGAGAGGACAUAAAUACUCAUCAGGAAAAAGCUCUGCACCUCAGAAAGUGGUGAGUUCAUCACACAGGUCUCCUGUGACUACUCUGGUCACAGGAGACCUUCUCAAUGGGAGCAGAUGAAGUGUUGAGGUGAGGAUUUUCACCGAUAGACUCUGGACUUUCUGGUCUACUUUCUGUUCCUCCUGGUGCACCAUCAUAAGGUGCUGGUGCCCCCACAUGGAAAAGUUAGUCUGGAGCUCUUUCUUGUGUGUUUACAAACCACAGAAAGAAGCUUAGAAGGUUAGAAGGUUAGAAGGUUGGUUCUCUGGCUGAAGGAUGAGCAGUCUGAGAAGUCCGCUUUCCUUCUGCACAUAUCGCUUCGUCGUCUCUGACGUCUCGUGUCUCACCUUUGGUCACAUGCAGAUACACAACAGGUUUCCCAUCACAGCUGUAAAGGCCAGAGUUGUUCAUCUCCACGGACGUUAUGGUCAACGUCUGGUCAGCAGGAGAAACAUGGAACCCUUUCUGGUCUGUUAUUGCACCAGUGUGAGUGGUGCUCCACCUUCUAGCAGGUGAUCCACCAUCAGGAGGACACGUCAGAGUGACUCGUGUCCCCUCCUCAGCUUCACGUAC